UACGAAGGGGGCUAGCGUUGCUCGGAAUCACUGGGCGUAAAGCGCACGUAGGCGGAUCGUUAAGUCGGGGGUGAAAUCCUGGAGCUCAACUCCAGAACUGCCUUCGAUACUGGCGAUCUUGGAGUCCGGGAGAGGUGAGUGGAACUCCGAGUGUAGAGGUGAAAUUCGUAGAUAUUCGGAAGAACACCAGUGGCGAAGGCGGCUCACUGGCCCGGUACUGACGCUGAGGUGCGAAAGCGUGGGGAGCAAACGGG
rnacentral:rRNA from 1 species